rnacentral:rRNA from 1 species
UACGUAGGGCGCAAGCGUUAUCCGGAAUUAUUGGGCGUAAAGAGCUCGUAGGCGGUUUGUCGCGUCUGCCGUGAAAGUCCGGGGCUCAACUCCGGAUCUGCGGUGGGUACGGGCAGACUAGAGUGAUGUAGGGGAGACUGGAAUUCCUGGUGUAGCGGUGGAAUGCGCAGAUAUCGGGAGGAACACCCGUAGCGAAGGCGGUUCUCUGGGCCAGUACUGACGCUGAGGAGCGAAAGCGUGGGGAGCAAACAGGG